rnacentral:rRNA from 1 species
UACGUAGGGUGCGAGCGUUAAUCGGAAUUACUGGGCGUAAAGUGUGCGCAGGCGGCAGAGCAAGUCGAGUGUGAAAGCCCCCGGGCUUAACUUGGGAAUUGCGCUCGAAACUACUUUGCUGGAGUGUGGCAGAGGAAGGUGGAAUUCCACGUGUAGCGGUGAAAUGACGUAGAGAUGUGGAGGAACACCAAUGGCGAAGGCAGCCUUC